rnacentral:lncRNA from 1 species
AGGGAUAAUCCAGGGCAGUUUAUUGAGACACAGGAAGGUUGGAGAUGGAUGACAUCCCUACUUUAGCACAGUGCUCCUUCCACACAUACUAUUAAAUCCAGACUGGAAAGGGAAGAUAAAAUACUGUAGGUUGUGCUGAAUGUGGCUUUGCACUGACUUCCAGUGCUGUCAUCAUGUCAGCAAUUGCAGUAUUGUUUUUAAUUGCAUCCUGUAGAAAUGUUGUGUUGAAAAGAUAAAUCAAGUUCAUCAGGUAUGUGGAUAUGCAGGACUACUGCAGUUGGAUUUGAUAAAGCAAUACUAAAGUUUCUCACUGUGCCAGCAAGUUGAAGACUGUCCUGUUUCCACAAGAGAAAAAAAAAUAGUUUCUAAAGAAUGGGAUGUCAAGAAUAGUCUUUAAUUAGUUUUCCAGUAAAAAAAUAUAUGGAUUUUACUUCUAGACCAGAAUAACAUAUAGUAUCUGAAGAAAUGGCUUGUUUUGUCAAAGAUAUCAAAAGAGUUUUUCGUUGCUGAGUUGUUGCUCUGAUUUUUCUUAGAAGUCAUCCUGGCUGUUAUAUCCUCUCUUCCUGCUUUCCAGUCAGGUAAUAAUUGCAUUCCACCUUCUACACAGGGUUUCCAUUUCAUGUCAAAAUGGUGCACAUUAGAAUAAAAGCCCUGGGAGAAGGAAGAAAGAUGUAAGCUACAAACACUGAAGGUGAUGCUGUCACAGAGUCAGGCCCAAUAUCCACUUCAGCCCUAACCUAAAACCACCAAGAGUUAAAACUUGGGAAGAGUCAGACCAUCGACAGUAAAGGGAGCUGUGCUUUCCAGGAGUGCCUACACCACUCAAAGCCAGGACUUUGCUUCAAAUCCCAUCCCUCACUUUUGGGAUAUAAAGGGGCUGCUCCAAGGCCAUGGAUCAAGGACUGAGCAAGUCCAGGUCACAGUUUUGAAUGUUCCUGCUCAGGACAUGCUAAAGAAUCUAAAAGUUCAGCAAAGUGGCUGCACAUUGGGGCAUGAAAGUGCACUUACAGGAUUAUUUUUUGCAUUGAAGAGAAAUCAAGCAUUUUCUUCUGUAUAA